AGGUGCGGCAAGGCGGCCGCGCCCGGGCACGGGCCCGGGUGAGGAAAGUCCGAGCACGGCAGGACACGGUGGUGGGUAACACCCACCCGCCCGAACUCCGGAGCGAUCCGGCGGUCGCGGGCGAGGGACAGCGCCACAGAAAUCACACCGCCGAUGGCCCGAGAGGGAUCAGGCAAGGGUGAAAUGGUGCGGUAAGAGCGCACCGCCCGCGUGGUGACACGCGGGGCAAGGCAAGCCCCACCGCGUGCAAGGUCACGCAGUUCCCGCGACGGGAAACCGUCGGCGACUCGUCCGGUCGAAAGGGAACGGGUAGACCGCUGGGGCCCUUCGGCGGCAUCGGUCGCGAGAUCGGUGCGGGAGAGUCCCGACCACGUCGGCAACGGCGUGGCGAGAGGAAUGGCCGCCGCCGGCGGGUCGAGCCCCCGUCAAGGCCCCGCCGGCACAGAACUCGGCUUACCAGCCGCACCCGACC
rnacentral:RNase_P_RNA from 1 species